AGCGUACACGGUGGAUGCCCUGGCAGUCAGAGGCGAUGAAGGACGUGCUAAUCUGCGAUAAGCGUCGGUAAGGUGAUAUGAACCGUUAUAACCGGCGAUUUCCGAAUGGGGAAACCCAGUGUGUUUCGACACACUAUCAUUAACUGAAUCCAUAGGUUAAUGAGGCGAACCGGGGGAACUGAAACAUCUAAGUACCCCGAGGAAAAGAAAUCAACCGAGAUUCCCCCAGUAGCGGCGAGCGAACGGGGAGGAGCCCAGAGCCUGAAUCAGUGUGUGUGUUAGUGGAAGCGUCUGGAAAGGCGCGCGAUACAGGGUGACAGCCCCGUACACAAAAAUGCACAUGCUGUGAGCUCGAUGAGUAGGGCGGGACACGUGGUAUCCUGUCUGAAUAUGGGGGGACCAUCCUCCAAGGCUAAAUACUCCUGACUGACCGAUAGUGAACCAGUACCGUGAGGGAAAGGCGAAAAGAACCCCGGCGAGGGGAGUGAAAAAGAACCUGAAACCGUGUACGUACAAGCAGUGGGAGCCUCUUUAUGGGGUGACUGCGUACCUUUUGUAUAAUGGGUCAGCGACUUAUAUUCUGUAGCAAGGUUAACCGAAUAGGGGAGCCGAAGGGAAACCGAGUCUUAACUGGGCGUUAAGUUGCAGGGUAUAGACCCGAAACCCGGUGAUCUAGCCAUGGGCAGGUUGAAGGUUGGGUAACACUAACUGGAGGACCGAACCGACUAAUGUUGAAAAAUUAGCGGAUGACUUGUGGCUGGGGGUGAAAGGCCAAUCAAACCGGGAGAUAGCUGGUUCUCCCCGAAAGCUAUUUAGGUAGCGCCUCGUGAAUUCAUCUCCGGGGGUAGAGCACUGUUUCGGCAAGGGGGUCAUCCCGACUUACCAACCCGAUGCAAACUGCGAAUACCGGAGAAUGUUAUCACGGGAGACACACGGCGGGUGCUAACGUCCGUCGUGAAGAGGGAAACAACCCAGACCGCCAGCUAAGGUCCCAAAGUCAUGGUUAAGUGGGAAACGAUGUGGGAAGGCCCAGACAGCCAGGAUGUUGGCUUAGAAGCAGCCAUCAUUUAAAGAAAGCGUAAUAGCUCACUGGUCGAGUCGGCCUGCGCGGAAGAUGUAACGGGGCUAAACCAUGCACCGAAGCUGCGGCAGCGACGCUUAUGCGUUGUUGGGUAGGGGAGCGUUCUGUAAGCCUGUGAAGGUGUGCUGUGAGGCAUGCUGGAGGUAUCAGAAGUGCGAAUGCUGACAUAAGUAACGAUAAAGCGGGUGAAAAGCCCGCUCGCCGGAAGACCAAGGGUUCCUGUCCAACGUUAAUCGGGGCAGGGUGAGUCGACCCCUAAGGCGAGGCCGAAAGGCGUAGUCGAUGGGAAACAGGUUAAUAUUCCUGUACUUGGUGUUACUGCGAAGGGGGGACGGAGAAGGCUAUGUUGGCCGGGCGACGGUUGUCCCGGUUUAAGCGUGUAGGCUGGUUUUCCAGGUAAAUCCGGAAAAUCAAGGCUGAGGCGUGAUGACGAGGCACUACGGUGCUGAAGCAACAAAUGCCCUGCUUCCAGGAAAAGCCUCUAAGCAUCAGGUAACAUCAAAUCGUACCCCAAACCGACACAGGUGGUCAGGUAGAGAAUACCAAGGCGCUUGAGAGAACUCGGGUGAAGGAACUAGGCAAAAUGGUGCCGUAACUUCGGGAGAAGGCACGCUGAUAUGUAGGUGAAGUCCCUCGCGGAUGGAGCUGAAAUCAGUCGAAGAUACCAGCUGGCUGCAACUGUUUAUUAAAAACACAGCACUGUGCAAACACGAAAGUGGACGUAUACGGUGUGACGCCUGCCCGGUGCCGGAAGGUUAAUUGAUGGGGUUAGCGCAAGCGAAGCUCUUGAUCGAAGCCCCGGUAAACGGCGGCCGUAACUAUAACGGUCCUAAGGUAGCGAAAUUCCUUGUCGGGUAAGUUCCGACCUGCACGAAUGGCGUAAUGAUGGCCAGGCUGUCUCCACCCGAGACUCAGUGAAAUUGAACUCGCUGUGAAGAUGCAGUGUACCCGCGGCAAGACGGAAAGACCCCGUGAACCUUUACUAUAGCUUGACACUGAACAUUGAGCCUUGAUGUGUAGGAUAGGUGGGAGGCUUUGAAGUGUGGACGCCAGUCUGCAUGGAGCCGACCUUGAAAUACCACCCUUUAAUGUUUGAUGUUCUAACGUUGACCCGUAAUCCGGGUUGCGGACAGUGUCUGGUGGGUAGUUUGACUGGGGCGGUCUCCUCCUAAAGAGUAACGGAGGAGCACGAAGGUUGGCUAAUCCUGGUCGGACAUCAGGAGGUUAGUGCAAUGGCAUAAGCCAGCUUGACUGCGAGCGUGACGGCGCGAGCAGGUGCGAAAGCAGGUCAUAGUGAUCCGGUGGUUCUGAAUGGAAGGGCCAUCGCUCAACGGAUAAAAGGUACUCCGGGGAUAACAGGCUGAUACCGCCCAAGAGUUCAUAUCGACGGCGGUGUUUGGCACCUCGAUGUCGGCUCAUCACAUCCUGGGGCUGAAGUAGGUCCCAAGGGUAUGGCUGUUCGCCAUUUAAAGUGGUACGCGAGCUGGGUUUAGAACGUCGUGAGACAGUUCGGUCCCUAUCUGCCGUGGGCGCUGGAGAACUGAGGGGGGCUGCUCCUAGUACGAGAGGACCGGAGUGGACGCAUCACUGGUGUUCGGGUUGUCAUGCCAAUGGCACUGCCCGGUAGCUAAAUGCGGAAGAGAUAAGUGCUGAAAGCAUCUAAGCACGAAACUUGCCCCGAGAUGAGUUCU
rnacentral:rRNA from 1 species